rnacentral:lncRNA from 10 species
GACAAAACCAAGCCACUGGAGCCUGAACCAGCCAGGAUUUACCUGAAGCAAAAUGACCACAAAGGCGAACUCCUCCAGGCCAUCUCCUCUUGAAGUCCUCUUUGUUCACAGCAAGGCCCCAGGUCACAGUGCACAGCCUGCCUGGGCCUGUCUGUCCAGGAUCCAGCCCAGGCUGAGAAGCCCUGCAGCAGGCAGAAAAAGGAAGCCUGAGGUUUGAGGAGAGCGCGGGGAGGGUGGAAUGGAGCCAGAGGCCGUGGUGCCUUGGAGGCCCAGAGCCAUGAGUCCCGCACCCUCAUGGAAGCAACGGAGGGAUCCCUCCCGGUUCUCAGUGCAGACAACUUCCUUUCCGACUGUGGCCCUGAGGAUCAGAGAAGAACACCUGUCUACAAUGGCAGAAAGCUUAGGGAUUUACCUCUUCAACUACCUCUUGUUACAGAAGAAAAAUCUGACUCACAUGUGAUCACAGCAAAACAAUCUGAAUGAGACCCCUCUUCUGAUUUAUUCUAAGCCCCCUCUCAGACUGCCCCUAGGCCAACAGGGAGUUGGGGAUGGGGAGUGAAAGAGUUUUAGACAAACUGAUUGGUUCGGCAACACAGUCUUCCGGCAGAAUUCUUACUCCUUAGUCUUCAAUAACAGGUUGUAGAAAUUCAUUCAAGUAUGUAGGUU